AGUGCAAGUAGCAGGCUUUACUACCAGUGGCGCUAUGAAAAGCACUCACGGUGGAUCUCGUCUGAUCUGGACAUCUUUGAGAUCAGGGAUUUUGAGGAUCCACUCGCGGGCCCUUAUCUCGAGUGCAUCAGGG